GUCGGUACUUGAAGAAGCGGAGCCAGGGCUGAGAUCCCGAAGGCGGGCGAGGUCUGGGAUGGGGCGGGGCCUAUGGGAGCGGGGCUGAAGCCCUGGGCCCGGCAGAGGAAGGUCGAGAUGGACCAUGUUGGGCCCCUUCUCUCCCCGCCCCCAGGCCGCAGUUCGGGGGCCACGCCCCGGCGUGCUCGGGUCACCGCGGGAAGCCCUUGAACCCCCUGGCGCCCGGCACCCACGUGCGGUAACCGCGGCUCCUCGAGAGCUCCAGGGAUGCGGAUCUACAGUAAGGGCUGUGGCCAGAUGAAUGAAUGCACAUUUUUUAGUGGGCAGAAAGAUGUUAGAAUUCAUGAAUUAGAAUAAGCACAAAGGAGGGCGAGAGGGGAGGCCGUGGAAGCCGCAUUCCUCCCCUUGCCUUGGGCGCCCACCCCCGAAGGGGCGCGUCCCCUCCCUGCUCCACUGCACGUGGGUGUUUAACCAGGGGAUAUCCAGUGCCUCAAGCACCACGACCCGGGAGAAAACUGAGUUGAGAAGGGUCCAUUCAAGAAUUGUGCCCACAAUAUACCAGGCACUUGUCCAGACCUGCAUCGUCCAAUGCCCACCUCGACCUCCCAAAGUGUUGGGAUUAGAGGCGUGAGCCACCGCGCCCUGCCUGCAUGUGGCUAUUGAGAUGUGCUGUAUGAUACACACCGGACUUUGAAGACUCAGUGUGAAAAAUAAAAAGAAUUUUAAGAGGGGUGGGGGUCGAGGGGAGGCAGAGCAGUAGGACAAAUAGCUAAUGCACGCAGGGCUUAAAACCUAGACAACAGGUUGAUGGGUGCAGCAAACCACCAUGACACAUGUUUAUCUAUAUAGCACCUACAUGUUCUGCACUUGUAUCCUGGAACUUAAAAUUAGAAAAAAAAAAUAAUAAAAGCCAACAUGGCAUUCAUUACUGCCAAAAAAAUUAAAACACAUUGUUAAUUUUGUAUAUUGAUUACAGGUUGAACUGAUAAUAUUUUGAAUAUAUUGGGUUAAAGAAAUACAUUUAAAAUUAGUGGCUAGGCACAGUGGCUCAUGCCUGUAACCCCAGCACUUUGGGAGGCUGAGGCGGGUGGAUCACCUGAGGUCUGGAGUUCGAGAUGAGCCUGGCCAACAUGGUGAAACCCCAUUUCUACUAAAAAUACAAAAAUCAGCCGGGUGUGGUGGUGAGUGCCUGUAAUCCCAACUACUUGGGAGGCUGAGGCAGGAGAAUCGUUUGAACCCGGGAGGUGUAGGUUACAGUGAGCCGAGAUUGUCCCACUGCACUCCAGCCUGGGUGACAGAGUGAGACUCCAUCUUAAUAAUAAUAAUAAAACUAUUUCUUGCUGUUUUACUUUUCUAAUGU
rnacentral:lncRNA from 1 species